rnacentral:rRNA from 1 species
CGGACCACUUCGGUGGUUAGUGGCGUACGGGUGANUACACGUGGUUGACCUACCCCAAAGUAAGGGAUUACGGUCCGAAAGGACUGCUAAUACCUUAUAAGCUCCCGGUGUUUAGAAAACUGGGAGAAAAGUUCCGGCGCUUUGGGCGGGGACUGCGGACCAUCAGCUAGUUGGUGUGGUAACGGCACACCAAGGCGACGACGGAUAGGGGACCUGAGAGGGUGGCCCCCCACACUGGAACUGAGACACGGUCCAGACUCCUACGGGAGGCAGCAGUGAGGAAUAUUGCACAAUGGGCGCAAGCCUGAUGCAGCGACGCCGCGUGGGUGAUUAAGGUUUUCGGAUCGUAAAGCCCUUUUCUAGAUGACGAGUAAGGACGGUAGUCUAGGAAUAAGUGUCGGCUAACUACGUGCCAGCAGCCGCGGUAAAACGUAGGACACAAGCGUUAUCCGGAGUUACUGGGCGUAAAGGGCGUGUAGGCGGAACCUGUAAGUCUAUUCUGAAAGCUCCUGGCUAACUGGGGAGANGCGAAUGGAGACUGC